AACGAACGCUGGCGGCAGGCCUAACACAUGCAAGUCGAGCGCCCUUCCGGGGGAGCGGCGGACGGGUGCGUACCGCGUGGGAAUAUGCCCUUCUCUACGGACUAGCCUCGGGAUACUGAGAGUAAUACCGUAUACGCCCUGUGGGGGAAAGACUUAUCGGGGAAGGAUUAGUCCGCGUUGGAUUGGGUAGUUGGUGGGGUAAUGGCCUACCAAGCCGACGAUCCAUUGCUGGUUUGAUAGGAUGACCAGCCAUAAUGGGGCUGAGACACGGCCCAGUCUCCUACGGAGGGGAGCAGUAGAGUAUGUUAGACAAGGAAGGCUGACGUGGUCUCGCCAUGCCGCGUAAGUCAUGCAGGGCUUAGGAUUGUAAAGCCCUUUGAGCUGGGAAGAUAGUGACGGUACCAGCAGAAGAAGCCCCGGCUAACUCCGUG
rnacentral:rRNA from 1 species